GACGAACGCUGGCGGCGUGCUUAACACAUGCAAGUCGAACGAAGUGGCGAACGGGUGAGUAACGCGUAAUCAACCUGCCCUUCAGAGGGGGACAACAGUGGGAAACGACUGCUAAUACCGAAUACUGAAGGAGGGGAUUGCGUCGGAUUAGGUGGUGGGAGGGGUAACGGCCCACCAAGGCGAUGAUCAGUAGCCUGUCUGAGGGGAUGAACGUCCACAUUGGUACUGAUACACGGCCAAGACUCCUACGGUAGGCAGCAGUGGGGAAUCUUCCGCAAUGGACGAAAGUCUGACGGAGCAACGCCGCGUGAGUGAUGACGGCCUUCGGGUGGUAAAGCUCUGUUAAUCGGGACGCGGUACCGGAAUAGAAAGCCACGGCUAACUACGUGCCAGCAGCCGCGGUAAUAC
rnacentral:rRNA from 1 species